rnacentral:rRNA from 1 species
UACAGGGGGUGCAAACGUUGCUCGGAAUCAUUGGGCGUAAAGCGCACGUAGGCGGUCUGUUAUGUCGGAUGUGAAAUCCCUCGGCUCAACCGAGGACGUGCAUACGAAACUGCGAAGCUUGAGUACUGAAGAGGAUCGCGGAAUUCCCGGUGUAGAGGUGAAAUUCGUAGAUAUCGGGAGGAACACCAGUGGCGAAGGCGGCGAUCUGGGCAGAUACUGACGCUGAGGUGCGAAAGCGUGGGGAGCAAACAGG